GGGUACCGGAAUCUUUCGACCAAACAGCUUGAAAGCUGGAUCUUUGGACAGAGGCAUAUCUGAACCGUUCAUUUUUUAUCAAAAUAUUUGCAGCAAAGUGUGAAGAAUAAAAGGUAUGGGAAGAGCCAUAGAAAUAGCAAAAAGAACGUAAAAAAGAUUGAAAGAAAAGAGAGAGACAGAGAGAGGAAAGACUACAGAGAGGCCUUUUGGUGACUUAGAGAAGCUUUUA
rnacentral:misc_RNA from 1 species